CACUAUGGCCAUACCACCCUGAUUGUGCCUCAUAUUGUCUGACCUGGGAAGCUAAGCAGCCAGGCAGAUUAGUAUUGGAUGGGGGACCAGCAGGGACUAUUGGGUAUCUUGGGCU
rnacentral:rRNA from 1 species